GAUGAACGCUAGCGGCAGGCUUAACACAUGCAAGUCGAGGGGCAGCGGGAAAUGUGCUUGCACAUUUUGCCGGCGACCGGCGCACGGGUGAGUAACGCGUAUCCGACCUACCCAUAACUCGGGCACAGCCGCUCGAAAGAGCGAUUGAUUCCCGAUAUGUCCUUGGAGUAGAUUCAAUGAUGAAAGAUUUAUCGGUUAUGGAUGGGGAUGCGUAAGAUUAGGUAGUAGGCGGGGUAACGGCCCACCUAGCCGACGAUCUUUAGGGGUUCUGAGAGGAAGGUCCCCCCACACUGGUACUGAGACACGGACCAGACUCCUACGGGAGGCAGCAGUGAGGAAUAUUGGUCAAUGGGCGGAAGCCUGAACCAGCCAAGUAGCGUGCAGGAUGACGGCCCUACGGGUUGUAAACUGCUUUUUGCGGGAGGAUAAAACGCCCCACGUGUGGGGCCUUGCAGGUAUCCCGCGAAUAAGGACCGGCUAAUUCCGUG
rnacentral:rRNA from 1 species